rnacentral:rRNA from 1 species
CGGACGGGUGAGUAAUGUCUGGGAAACUGCCUGAUGGAGGGGGAUAACUACUGGAAACGGUAGCUAAUACCGCAUAACGUCGCAAGACCAAAGAGGGGGACCUUCGGGCCUCUUGCCAUCAGAUGUGCCCAGAUGGGAUUAGCUAGUAGGUGGGGUAACGGCUCACCUAGGCGACAAUCCCUAGCUGGUCUGAGAGGAUGACCAGCCACACUGGAACUGAGACACGGUCCAGACUCCUACGGGAGGCAGCAUG